UACGAAGGGGGCUAGCGUUGCUCGGAAUCACUGGGCGUAAAGCGCACGUAGGCGGAUUGUUAAGUCAGGGGUGAAAUCCUGGAGCUCAACUCCAGAACUGCCUUUGAUACUGGCGAUCUUGAGUCCGGGAGAGGUGAGUGGAACUGCGAGUGUAGAGGUGAAAUUCGUAGAUAUUGGCAAGAACACCAGUGGCGAAGGCGGCUCACUGGCCCGGUACUGACGCUGAGGUGCGAAAGCGUGGGGAGCAAACAGG
rnacentral:rRNA from 1 species